GCUGCUGCUUUACGCGAAGCGCCGUGCGGCGAGUCCAGGUUCCCCAUAGGAAUUAGUGGGGGGGCGGGGCAGGUUCCGCGGGACCCCCCCCCGACAAAAGCCGUUAUGCACCUGGCACCAACCCUGACAACGUGCACAGCAUGCAGGAGAACAUCCCUGCCAGGGCAACUCCGCCUCUCCCCCAGCACUCAUCCUCAGUAGCGCUCCACAUGCUUUACCGAGUGGAUUGGUGUCAUUAUCCCCAUUUGAUAGAUGGGGAAACUGAGGCACAGGGUGGUGAAAUGACAGCAGGCUAGUAGCAGCACUAAGAUUUGAACUCCUCUCUUCUGAUGCUUACUCUGCUUCCCUAUUCACUAGGCCACCGUGAUGAUAAUCUCUAGUAGCCCUCAAAGCAGCCAACCGCAGCAAAAUGUUACCGCUGUCAUAAAAAAGCCAGAACACUCCGCCGCAGGCCCGCAGCCAAAGCAAUUGUGCAAUAAAUCCCAUCAAAGUCCUGGGGAGUUCUAACACGGCAAUCAGGGGACAUUGUAAAAAUUUGUCAUGGCUGGAAUCUGGUGUCUUGUUUGCAGAAGGCGUGGACAGUGUGGUGAACUGAUGCACUCAGCCGCAAGUGAGCCAGGUGCACCCAUGGUCUCAUGAGCUUGGCAAGGAGCUGUAUGCCCUCCCUCCUGGGCGGGUGGUGGAGAUCAGUCAGUUAAUAAAGUGCUUUUGACAAUCCGGGCUAGUUAUGAAUAAAUGCCUUGGCUCAUUUGGACAGAAACAGGCCCAUGGGGUUUACACUGCUGUCCUUUCAGACUCGGGCAGCCCCUCUGGAUUUGCAAGGGUAGGAAGGCACAAUGCCUAAGGGGAUGGUGUCUUGUCCAGAAUGCUCGUUACUCCUCUGAGAUGAUUGUGGGGCUUGAACGUCCCCCAGUGGACACCUGGGAUGAGGCAGGAUGGUGCAGUGGUUAGGGCCCCUGUCUCUGGCCUGACACAGCCCUGCUAACUCCUGGGGGAUCCUAGUGUGUUAGAAAGAGAGCCUGAGACAUGAGGCCUGGUAUCAGAGACCGGGUAUGAGGCCUGAGGUUUGAACUAAAGUAGUAGUCAAGCCCUGCUGCUAUGAAGCAAAGGUAGUAAGAGGUUGUGAGCAGGAGUCAGGCCCUGCUAUAAAACGUGCCUGCUUGCAAGUUCACAGAACCUGGCAAGAACAGGCUGGUAUUGUAAGAACACAAAUAUUCCUGAGAAGGGGCAGGCACAGACCACUUGUGAUGCUCUGUACCUCAGGGGAACACCCA